GAUGAACGCUAGCGGCAGGCCUAAUACAUGCAAGUCGAACGGGAUUAAGAGGCUUGCUUCUUAUGAGAGUGGCGCACGGGUGCGUAACACGUACACAACCUUCCUACAAGUGGGGAAUAGCCCAGAGAAAUUUGGAUUAAUACCCCGUAACAUAGCGAUGUGGCAUCACAUUGCUAUUAUAGCUUCGGCGCUUGUUGAUGGGUGUGCGGCUGAUUAGAUAGUUGGCGGGGUAACGGCCCACCAAGUCUACGAUCAGUAGCUGAUGUGAGAGCAUGAUCAGCCACACGGGCACUGAGACACGGGCCCGACUCCUACGGGAGGCAGCAGUAAGGAAUAUUGGACAAUGGACGCAAGUCUGAUCCAGCCAUGCCGCGUGAAGGAUUAAGGUCCUCUGGAUUGUAAACUUCUUUUAUAAGGGACGAAAAAAGGUCUUUCUAGACCGUCUGACGGUACCUUAUGAAUAAGCACCGGCUAACUCCGUGCCAGCCGCCGCCGUAACAC
rnacentral:rRNA from 1 species